rnacentral:tRNA from 1 species
UGGGUUGUGGCUCAGAGGUAGAGCACUUGUCUAGCACAUGCAAGGCCCUGGGUUCAAUCCUCAGCACCACAC